rnacentral:rRNA from 1 species
UACGUAGGGGGCAAGCGUUGUCCGGAAUCAUUGGGCGUAAAGAGCGCGUAGGCGGCCCAGUAAGUCCGCUCUGAAAGUCAGGGGCUCAACCCCUGAAUGCGGGUGGAUACUGCUGGGCUAGAGUCCGGAAGAGGCGAGUGGAAUUCCUGGUGUAGCGGUGAAAUGCGCAGAUAUCAGGAGGAACACCAAUGGCGAAGGCGGCCUUCUGGACGGAUACUGACGCUGAGGCGCGAAGGCCAGGGGAGCAAACGGG